GACGAACGCUGGCGGCGUGCUUAACACAUGCAAGUCGAACGGAAAGGCCCUGCUUUUGUGGGGUGCUCGAGUGGCGAACGGGUGAGUAACACGUGAGUAACCUGCCCUUGACUUUGGGAUAACUUCAGGAAACUGGGGCUAAUACCGGAUAGGAGCUCCUGCUGCAUGGUGGGGGUUGGAAAGUUUCGGCGGUUGGGGAUGGACUGGCGGCUUAUCAGCUUGUUGGUGGGGUAGUGGCUUACCAAGGCUUCGACGGGUAGCCGGCCUGGGAGGGUGACCGGCCACAUUGGGACUGAGAUACGGCCCAGACUCCUACGGGAGGCAGCAGUGGGGAAUAUUGCACAAUGGGCGGAAGCCUGAUGCAGCAACGCCGCGUGCGGGAUGACGGCCUUCGGGUUGUAAACCGCUUUCGCCUGUGACGAAGCGUGAGUGACGGUAAUGGGUAAAGAAGCACCGGCUAACUACGUG
rnacentral:rRNA from 1 species